GCAGCACUUCGUGGUGAUUUGAGCCGGCCGGCUUGCAGCCACGUUAAAUAAGUUGCUAAAAAGGCCGGGUUUGCGAAAAA
rnacentral:ncRNA from 2 species